UCCCUCCCUAACGAGAAGAGGAACGUGUGAGCCAAAGUCGGCUCGACAAUUUCCACUGAGAUGACCUCAAACACUGGUCUGCAGCUGUUAGUCGUUCUUGUGGAAAAGAGAGAAAUAACAACUUAGUGAGUUUCUCAUAAAAUGAAAUACUCAAGCCAAAGGAUUGUUCCUUAAUCUGAGCCUCCCCCCGCUUUUUUUUUGGGGGGGGGGGGUAUUGUGAAACGAAAAUUCACUCUGCCAAAAGGAAAAAAAUUAAGCUGAAAGCUGAGUCAUGCAAGCAACUGCCUUUCCUUUUGUUCCUAAGCAGAUAGCUACAGAUUAAAGGUGAAGUAUCUCCACUCUGUAUUCACCUUAUCUUGUGUAAAGUGCCGAUUUACUGAGCGCUAGACAAAUACGUAAUUGUUGCCCUACCUGCUCCCUUUAUCGCAACAUGUGGAUUCAGUAAUGUGAACAUACCCUCCAUCUUUCCUCUCCAGCCUGCUUUUCCCCUUUAAAUAUUGAAGCCCUCAAAAUAAUCUUUGGAGAAAGGCACAGACCUGUCUCCUGGGCGCAAGUCCUUCACCUUCAUAACAUAAAUUUCUAAACUGAUACAGGUACUUUUUGUUUCACAAGUAUUGACAUUUAACUUAAUUGAAAGUCGUUUGUUUUAUAUUUUCCCUUGGAAAAAUUUAAAGUUAGCUGUUCUAUGUUGAUGCCUAAAAUUGGGGAUGGAGGCUGCUUUAUUAUACUGAAAUCCAGAACCUAACUUCACAGCCCCCCGUUGACCACCUGGAGCUUGGCUUCCCAGAGAUCUGCCUGAGUCCCCAAGAACAGAAUUCUAAGUGUGUGUCAUAUGGGUGAACACAAGCUCUAUGUCAGGCUCCGUUCUUCCCAGGGGUAGGAGAGGGCUUUCUUCCAAGGAGAAUGGAGACUGUGCCUUGUGGCCUCUGUGGCUGGACACUGGUAGGCUGGUGGGUGCUCCUCUCUGCACAGACCUUCACAUGCCCUCCCCACAGUCCAAGUUCUGCCUCCCCCAUCUUCACCACACUAAAUACAAAGUAAAUGUUAAAGGACAAUUAAAGAGUUAUUUUGACUAAAGUUUCAAGUAACUGCCCCAAACAGUUGACAACUUGCCUUGAUUAGGUCAACUGGCUCCAUUUUCCCACAAAGGAGAAAAAGACUAAGCCUCAAGGCCUUUCAAGGGUGGCAGUUGCUUCCUCCUACAGUAACUGUUCCCUUACACAGUUCUGCUGUUCCCUGCCUGCUUCCUCCAAGCCCUCCCAGCCUAGUGAUCCAGACCACAGUCCAUGGAAUAAGAGAGUUCCUGGUUCAUAACUUCCUGAAUCUUGCGAACUCUACCCCAUCAGAUUUGAGCUGGAUGAGAAUGUGAUUGUCAUCAACUCCUGCUUCUGGAAACAGGAUACCUGUGGUCAGAAGGUGCCCCACAUGACCAAACACUGGUGAGAUCCAAGAUGGCAGCUCACUUGACCUCUGAAGAACUUCUAACUUCAUUAUAAUCUAAUUUCCAUGCUAAAUGACUUUCCCACCAGCAUCAUGACAGUUGAUAAUCACCAUGACAAUGACUGGAAGAAACCAUAAAAGGACAAAAAAAAAGGAAGGUAAUACUCUAGUUUUGAGAAGUUCUCUGUCCAUUCCCAAAAAGACAUGAAUAUUUAUCCCCUAGCUUUUAGUGCCUAACCCCUUCAUUAAAGAGGCCCUAUAUUUGUGACUUCCUGACUUUCACAAGCUGAGAAGUUAAUUCGUGAACCAAGCUCCUUAUUCUCAAUUCCGUGGCCAUCCAAUAAAGCCUGCACUACUUGACACUUGCUUUUGUUUUUCCAAACUGGCUUUGGGACACCAAAGAGGGAAAGACUCCAUUUUGUGGGGGACCAGCUUUGUAGGUAACAAGUUGAUAAUAGUGGAAGAUGAAUGAUGAGUCUACUGGGGUUCAUUAUAUUAUUACCUACAUAUGUUUGCAAUUCUCUAUAAUAAAAAGUUUUUUUAAACAAGGUGUCUGCAAAGAAAGCCCAGCCUGAAGAUAACACUAAUAAUGUGGGCAGGGUGAACAAGAAGAAAACAGUGAAUAACAGUCAUUACUAUUCUUGUUAACCUCACUACAAGGCAAGGUCAAGGACAGAUCUAACUGUAGCUAAUAAUACAGCCUUUCAAAUUUUGAAUAAAAUUCAAAAUUAUCAAGAAAACAUUUGAAACAGAUUUCAUUCAUGGGGUACCUCACUCUGAUUGUCUGUUAUGCCUGAAAGUAUUAGUUAAUGAUCAUAUACUGCCAUCUUAGUUAAGACAUUUUUUAAAAAUGUAUCUGUGAGUACAGUAUUAUGUAAUAUAAACACACUCAAACAAA